GCUAAGGUAGCAUAAUCAUUUGUUUCUUAAUUGGUAGCUGGUAUGAAUGGUUAAACUUGGUUUUUUGUUUGUUAGGCUUAAUAGGAAAUUAAAGUCAAGGUAAUAAUUCUUUGAUUAAUUUAGGGGACGAUAAGACCCUAAAAGCUUAAUAAGUGUAUUGAUUUAUAGUGUUAGAUAGAAAUUUAUUUUACUGGGGUGGUAUAAGUUGAUUUGCUAUAUAGUGUACAUAUGAUCCCUAAUAUUAGGAUAUGUUGGUUAAGUUACUUUAGGGAUAA
rnacentral:rRNA from 2 species